CGAUAAAGGGAAGGAAAAAGUGAUCGAAUAACCGUUGAAGCCGUUCGACAACAUCCGAGAUUUUGCUCGUUAGCGAUCGGAUUCGGGAUCAUUAAAGUCGAAGUCAUCUACACUAUCAAAGCGUCCAUUUUGGUAUAAUUUUGGUUGAACUUUGAAAUGGCAUGUAUAGGACUACCCUAAUGUUGAAGGUCAUGUACCUUUCGGUUUUGUGUAAACUUAGAUAGCCAUGCGAAAAUGACUUAUAUCGUUUUGGUAUGAUACUAUAAUCGUUGUAUGUUGAUCAUUAUGGGGUAUGGAAUUGUUUUGAGAAGAUUAGCCAUUGGAAUGGUUAAUCAUGAUCACACUUUGUGCUAUGUAUGCAAAGAGGGGCAAUUGAAUCGUGGAAAUCAUGAAA